rnacentral:misc_RNA from 1 species
UGGCUCUCGCAUCGAUGAAGAACGCAGCGAAAUGCGAUAAGUAAUGUGAAUUGCAGAAUUCAGUGAAUCAUCGAAUCUUUGAACGCACCUUGCGCUCCUUGGUAUUCCGAGGAGCAUGCCUGUUUGAGUGUCUUGAAGUCAUCAACCCCAACCUUUCGUCUCGAGAGGUCGCGGUUGGAUCUUGGGGGCUUUGCCGCCGUCAAAGGCCGGCUCCCCUCAAAUGCGUCGGUUGGGCCUCUGGGUCAAACUCGACUGGGCGUUGUACCAUCCUCGCUCCGGAGAGAACCCGCGUACCCCUUCCUCUACCCUGCCCCUGCUGCGGGCGGGUCAAUCGACCUUUUGAAAUCUGACCUCAAAUCAGGCAGGACUACCCGCUGA